CCUACGGGUGGCAGCAGUGAGGAAUAUUGGUCAAUGGACGAGAGUCUGAACCAGCCAAGUAGCGUGAAGGAUGACUGCCCUAUGGGUUGUAAACUUCUUUUAUAUGGGAAUAAAAUGUUCCACGUGUGGGAUUUUGUAUGUACCAUAUUAAUAAGGAUCGGCUAACUCCGUGCCAGCAGCCGCGGUAAUACGGAGGAUCCGAGCGUUAUCCGGAUUGAUUGGGUUUAAAGGGAGCGUAGGUGGAUUGUUAAGUCAGUUGUGAAAGUUUGCGGCUCAACCGUAAAAUUGCAGUUGAAACUGGUAGACGUGAGUACAGUAGAGGUGGGCGGAAGUUGUGGUGUAGCGGUGAAAUGCGUAGAUAGCACGAAGAACUCCGAUUGCGAAGGCAGCUCACUGGACUGCAACUGACACUGAGGCUCGAAAGUGUGGGUAUCAAACAGGAUUAGAUACCCUUGUAGUC
rnacentral:rRNA from 1 species